CGGGGAGCCUGAGUGCAGCGUGCAGGGUGCAGGGUGCAGGGUGCAGGGUGCAGGGAGCCCAGAGCCUGGGACGCACACGGCGGGCAGGGAGCCGGGGUGCAGGGUGCGGGGUGCGGGGUGCAUGGAGCCGGGAGCCUGGGACGCAGGCGGCGGGCGUCGCUGCCCCUCCCCCGCGGCCGAGCGCGAGCCGCGGUGACGUCAGGGCCGCCUCCCCCCCCCCCCCCCGCGCCGGCCGAGCGCGUGCGGACGCCGAGCACAUGGGCCCGCGGGCUGGGCCGCGAGCGGCAGCCUGGCAGCACCCGAGCCCCGCGCCCCGCUCCCAGCGCCCCGCAGCGGAUUAUGUGCGGGGAGGAUGUGGGCCGCCCUGGUGACCUGCGGGGACGCGCCUCGGUCCACCUUCCCCACUGCAUGAGGCCAUUCUCCAGCUGCCCCUCACACCCGGCCCGCGAUCAUCCUUUCUAGAUGGCCCCCGGGCCAGGGUGCCCCGCACAGGCUGGUGUCGGUGGCCUGGGUGUCGACUCCCAGGAAGGACAGUCACGAGGCCGCUGCUGUGCACUGUGUGGAUGCGUUUUCCCGCUGGUUUGCGGCUGUGGGGUCUCCUUCUGUGGGCUGCGGCCCCCAUGACUUGAAGCUUUUCUACAAGAUGAGAGAGAAGAGGGGCUUUCCAAGGGGGCAGCGGGCCAAGUCGAGCCAGGCGCUUCCUUCUGGACGUGAGUCCUGCAGGAGCAGGCUGGCCCUGCCCCUCGGGAUCCGCUGCUGGAGCGAGGAAGCCGGGAGGCAGCUGUGUUUGUGUCGUGGGUGGGCGGAGGGCCCGGGCUCCAGGGGCCUGUUCUGCUCUGCUCUCCGUCAUAGGAUGUUGUGGGCCUGCUUUGCAUACUGAUGGUGACAAGUUGGAGCAUGUUCUUUAAGCAGAGUGCUGUGGUCUCAGCCGAUCUUUCUGAAGCUCUCAGCAGUGCAGAAGGGGGUUAUCUGAACCCUCCGAAUCCUUGAAAGGAGCUUCCUCAUAGAUUUAUUAGAAGAAAGAUCUUCCUGGACUCCCCAGAGUCACACACAGAACCCUCUCUCAGCCGGGGAGUGCCUGGUGACCUGGUCUCCAUCUUUAGAGGUGAGUGAAAACACCACUCAGCACCUGACACUUGACUGGCAUUCAGUGUGUCCUUGGCUCGAACCUGGAGGGGAAGCGAUUC